rnacentral:misc_RNA from 1 species
CGUGCUUUCGCUAUGACAUCAUAUUUUGAUGCAACAUCUUGGUUUCAGAGUAUAUGAUAGUCUCACACCUUUGUAACUAUUUUGCGCAUUCUUUUUGACGAACCGCUAAUUUUUCAGCAGGAUGGAUACAGAAGAUGGAGAUGUACCAAAGGAUCUGGAAGUUGCUACUGGAUCUCCAGUGAUGAGUAUGAUACUGCCAGAUCCACAGAAUGGAGAGGGAGAGCUAACUAUACAUCAGGAUGAUGGCACGGGUGUGGAUGUUAAUAUGACAGCAGAUAGCAAAUUGACUGAAGAUGGAACACAGGAUUUGGAAGAGAUUCAGCUGGCUGAUGGGACAACAGCAUACAUCCAAAAAGUAGAUAGAAGUAUUGUUGAGGGCCAAACAGUGCAAUUAGAAGAUGGGACAACUGCAUAUAUUCAACAGAUAACCGAUAAGAAUACUCUUGCUUCAUUUGAGGAUGGACAGGCCGUGCAACUGGAAGAUGGAACAACAGCCUACAUACAGAGAGCGCCAAGUAAAGAUGGCACAACACUGCAAGCAGUUCAGCUGGAGGAUGGUACAACAGCAUUUAUCCAGACUACAAUCUCACCUGCUGGACAGCUACCUGAGCAAGGACACACAUCUUUUGAGGCAGGGGAUGAUACAGUUGGUUUAUUGGACCAUUUUGGUGACGAUGUUAGUGCAGAACAAGUGGACCAAUCAGCAGCGUUGGAGUUGCAACCGGGUACAUCCAAUUUUCCAGAUGAUGGUAAAGCUAGUAUCACAAUCAAGCAUGUAAGCAUGAAUAGCCUGGCAAAACCAUUUGCAGAAAUGAAUGCAUUAAGUCAGAUGCUUGGAACUAAGACAUUUCGCUGUGCAUACGAAGGUUGUGGACGUAUGUAUACAACUUCACAUCACCUUAAGGUUCAUGAAAGGUCGCAUUCAGGUGAAAAGCCGUACCAUUGCGAUCAUCCAGGAUGUGGCAAAUCGUUUGCUACGGGUUAUGGUCUUAAAAGUCAUACCCGUGUGCAUACCGGUGUAAAGCCGUAUAAAUGUACAGAUGACGCCUGCGGGAAAGCUUUCAAGACAUCGGGCGACCUUCAAAAGCACAUACGAACACACACUGGUGAACGCCCAUUUAAGUGUCCAUUUGAAGGUUGCAAUAAAGCAUUCACGACGUCAAACAUCAGGAAGGUCCACAUCCGAGUGCACACUGGUGAAAGGCCAUAUAUAUGUAACGAGAAGAACUGCAAUCGGGCAUUCUCCAGUGCCACCAACUACAAGAAUCACAUGCGUAUACACACAGGAGAAAAACCAUAUGUUUGCACAGUAGCUGGAUGUGGAAAGCGGUUUACAGAAUAUUCAAGUUUAUACAAGCAUCAUGUUGUUCAUACACAUUCCAAGCCAUACACCUGUAACCUGUGCGGUAAAAAUUAUAGGCAGACUUCAACUCUUGCCAUGCAUAAGAGAACAGUUCACGGUGAAAUAGAGCGUAGUAUUGAUGUUGAUCCACAGAUUUUCGAGGCUGGAUUAUCUGAGGAAGGCCACAGUUCAGACAAGCUACCUCAGAUAGAAUACACAAUAACAACGCGCUCCAUGCCAGCAGGGCAGGCAAAGAACAACCAGACCUUUGGUCAGACUCAGAUCACACUGUCUCAGGGAGGUCAAACCAACAUUAUAAUCCAACGUGCAGAUGGCUCAACCAUCCAAGCCACAGAAGGCACUAUAUUGCAAACAUCUGCUGGAACAUUCGUUCUGCAACAAGCCUUACCACCAUCAGUACAAGGUGCCUCAUCAGAUGUUGAUAUUGGAGAUGAUGCAGGCGAGGGCGCUCUUACUCUAGUAACCCCAGACACUGAAGCUGCCAUAGCAGCCAUGAAGGCAGCAGCUGAAGAGUCUGUUUUACGAGCAGCAGCAGAAGUUGAAACUGCAGCACAGAUGGCUCAAAACGAGGGUGCAGAAAUUUCCGACCAAUCAGCAGAAGAGCAGAGUGGUGAGCUUGAUGUACUUUCAAAUUCAACCAGCACAAGAAUAAUGGAUGUAACCAGUUAAAAGAAUACAUUGGUACAUUGCAUCCGAUGAUCAUGCAGUACUUUUCGUUGGCACCCAAUCUCUCUUUCAGAUUACACAGAUUGGGUGCAUUAUGUUGACAUGCAUCAGGGCUUUCUGUUUUCACCCAGGCAUCACCUUGUGUGCUUAUAUUUUGCACCCACGUACAGGGUAUGUUACUCAAGGUGCUUUCAGUUUGUACCAAGGUGUCACUUAAGGUUUUUUUCAGUUUGCACCCAGGUGUGGUAAAUCAUGUCUGCAUUCAGUUUGCACCCAGGUGUGGUAACUCAUUUGCAUUAGUCAGUCAGCACCCAGGUGUUGUGCUCUUAAUGUGCUUUACCUCAUGUGCUCCGUUUGUAGCCACAUCCUUUAAAAACUAAUGUGGUUAAGAUAUCUGUUUAUGCACUCUGAUUUAGUAAACAUGACUGUAAUUUGUUGACAAUUCCUGUCUUUGAAACAUCAGAAACUACUAAUAUAAAAGGCAGUGUUUCUCGAAAUAUAGUGCCUAUAUAUAAAAGCAUGUGCUGAAAUAUUUCUUAAGAUAAAAUUUAUUUGAAAAUGAGGAUGUAGUUGUAAACUGAAUGGUUAUUAUUCCUAUGCAAUUGUAUUGCUGCCAAUGUGAAAAUUUGAUUUUCUUUCUAUGGGGGGGGGGGGAAGAGUUGGUUGAGAAUCAGGUGUUUAUUAUUAUACUGAUGUUAUUGUUGUGAAUGAUACAGAUCUUUAAUUUAAUUAAUUUCAAAUAUUGUAUACUUUGUUACCAGCAUUAAAAAAAUGCCAGUAUAAAUAAAAAUUUAAACACACAG